AUGACUCAGCAGUUAAGAGUGCUUACUAAGCAAUAAUGAGGACUAGCCUUCAGGUUCCAGCAAGCAGGCGUCCAGCCCAGGCCUCUAACCCAGCUCAGAGGGGGCCGUGAGAUGAGAGAAUCUCUGGGGUGUUCUGGCUUUCAGCGUAUCAGAGAAAAUGUUCUGGGAGAGACCCUGCCUCAAAGGGGUAGGCAGACAGUGGUAGAACAACACACCUGAGGCCCUUUCUGGCUCUCCACAUUGGCACAGGUGAGAACAUACAUGGAUGCAUGUGUGCAUGCAGACACACGCACACACAUACAUUUAUCUAGAAGAUGCAAUAAUACUGUAAAAAACGGGAACGAAAUGCUGGGCUAAUGCGUAGAGCACGACGGAGGGAGCCAGCAGAGAAUUCUAAGGUGCCGUUUGGAGGCUGCCAGCAGCGGCCAUUUGCUGAUAAAUCAAAGGAGCCUGCUACUUCCGGGAGCCAUAGAAAGAUGGUGCGCAUGCGUGGCAGCAGCUCAGGGGCCUGUGUCAACCAUCGGAGUAACAUACUACGAGAACACAAAGCAUGCUGGGAAGUCCACAGCAGUGUAACGCAGCUUUGGGGGCACCCCUUUCCUCAGUCUUUUUCUGUUUUCAGACAUACGGAUCACGAUGCGUUGUUCUCAUUCACUCCCCUCUCCCACUGCCCUCCCUCAGUCCCCUUUUCUUCUUUCUCCCUUCUCCCAGAUAGACCCCCUCUUCUGCUGUGUGUGUGUAGACCAGAGGUUGGGGGUUUGUACCAGAAGCAGUGUAGCUGGAUUCUAUGACAUUUCUUUUUCACUUUUGGAGACCCCUCCAUCUUGAUUCAACAGUGGCUGCAACCGUUGACAUCCCCUGCCAGCAGCGGCCUCCAUUUCCUCACACCCCUACCUCACACCUGAAUCUUAACCAGCAUGGUGGUUCGGCCUUUAGAUUACGGGUGGGUGCGAGAAGAGUUUCAGCUCCCGUGUCUCUCAGAUCUCGAAGCUGUCCAUAGCGUACUCCUGAAGAAUGAUUUCCAGAUUCAAAGGGGGAAAAGUGACGUCUUUGGUUGGGGACAGUUUGUGGUCAAAGAAGCAACGGGAAGUGACUCCUAAGACAAUGGCACGAUGCACCCACCAUCUGUAAUCACAGUAUCUCCAGGUGUCCCAGGCGGGUACUAGCCACUCUAGAGAAUGUUUUCUCAAUGGGGUUCUUACGAUAGACACUUCUUUUUUCUUUCCUGUGUGCUUUACCUGCAGGGACUUAAUUCCACACCGACACUGCCCCCAGAAUCCACCCCACAACAUGUAAGCUCAGACCCAUUUAUAUUCCCCGAGGGCUUUCAGUUUAUGAGCUAUCCAGGGACCGUAUUAGGUAGGGAUGAAAUGGGGGGUGUUUACAAACUGGCAACGAAACACGAUAUUUAUCCUGUCAGUUCAAACAAGCCUGGCAGAUGUAGUUUCUUUCUUUUUUUUUUUUCAUUAAAAUUAAAAUGGUAAGACAUACCGCAUUACUCUGCGCGAUGCCACCAGAUGUACAGCGUGCUUCUGACAAAGAGGCGGCCUGUGGUCAUUUGAGCCAGGCUGUGGCUUCUAACAAUUUGGUACAGGAACACUUGUUACGAGCAUUUACCUGAGAAGAAGCCCCACCCAGGUCAGACACAUGGAACGGGACCCGUCAGGCUUGUGACACUGAAGGUAGAAAUUAUUGGUGAUGUCUUUCCCUGGUGAGAAACAUCUUCACUAUCAGAGAAGAGCUUCAGGGAACAAAAGUAAGGUGAAUCUCUCAGACUUGUGGUGAGGAAUGACCCUGCACUCACAGUCCUCCUGCCUCCCAAGCGCUUCUUGCUAAUUUUUUUCAUUUUAAUCUGCGACAGUGGUUCUUGUCUCAGACCAUUGGACUAUGAUCUGAUCACAUAGUCUGGGUACACACCCUCUUUCCUUCAGUGUUCUUUACUUCUCAGUCGACGUCCAAAACCCCAAGUAGGAGGGGACGGAAGAAAGAACUGAUGCAACUGUUUUUCUGAGCAAGGGCCUCCAUUUUCCUGUUUUCAGGAUGCUCUUGUGUAUAGGUUGUGACUAUGAACCUUCUCCAUAUUACCGAUCAGUGAUCAAUAAUUUUGGGCAGUUCUUGCUCCUAAAAUAAUAUUGCCAACAAAUCUCUAAGAGACCUUUCUGGUAGAACUUCCUGAGGGCUCUGUGGCCCAGGGGCUGGAGCUGGCGCCAAUAGGAAUACAUCAUCUCAGAGGGUCCUGAGUGCCACAAUGGUAUGGGAACCCUUCCUCUCACACAUUCCUCUUUUGCACGUGCUCUUUGGUACAGGACCUAAGCCCAACGCUGUCUGGCUGUCAUAGCCAAUCCCCAUCUAAUUGUAUCUUUUGUCAUUACCUUGUCCGCACCCUGUGGAACCCGGUAUAUGUCCCUGCAGCGUGGCCAGCUGCUCAUUAGCAACCUUCACACUGCGUUUACAUGUUCCCUUGUGUGUGAUGCAUCUUGGGGGAUAUGUUCAUGAGGCUGUCAAUCAAGGCAGGAAAGGAAUCAAUGCUGGAACAAAGAAAGGGCUUAGAACUAAGCACUGGAUCACAUUUGUCCUGGACUGAUAAGAAUGAAUUUUGUCAGUGGUAAUACUUUUCCUUGGUCACCAGCCGCAAGAUGACGGAAAGACAGAAUAGCAACCCAUCACUCACACACCCAUGACGGGUUUCAUUAACAGCAAACCCGUCCCACAAAUAAAAUGCCAUCACUGGACAACUGGAAUCCUUAAAGGAAGAUGAACAAGUGGCCCCAGGCUAUCCACCUGAAUGAAAGGCUAAUGUCAACAGCUUCCCGACUGGACUGUAACUAUGGAGGAAUGCGAGCUAACAUGAUCAUGGUCACUCUAGAGCAACCGGCACAAAUCAGAGUAUCUGCACCCACAGACAGAGUGUGGAGAUGUUCCCUGACAUAACUAGUAUUGUGGGUUGAAUUACUUCCCUGUCCCCAACUUCUUAUGUUGACGCCUUAACUGCAGGCAUCCCAGGAUGUGACCUUAGAAACAGAGAACACUGAUAUCAUCAGCUGGGAGGUGACAUGCUGGGGGACAGUGGGCCAAUGAGGUUAUGUGUCUGUGGCUAUGGAUUCAAUGUUGUCUCUUCUGUAAUUCCCACUGGAAGAUAACUACAUCAUAACAGUAUUAAAGGUGGGACCUCAUUAAGAUUAUUAAGG
rnacentral:sRNA from 1 species